UACGGGGGGGGCAAGCGUUGUUCGGAAUUACUGGGCGUAAAGGGCGCGUAGGCGGCCUCUGCAAGUCGACUGUGAAAUCUCCGGGCUUAACCCGGAACGGUCAGCCGAUACUGCAGGGCUAGAGUGCAGAAGGGGCAACCGGAAUUCUCGGUGUAGCGGUGAAAUGCGUAGAUAUCGAGAGGAACACCUGAGGUGAAGACGGGUUGCUGGGCCGACACUGACGCUGAGUGCGCGAAAGCCAGGGGAGCAAACGGG
rnacentral:rRNA from 1 species